rnacentral:rRNA from 1 species
GAUGAACGCUGGCGGCGUGCCUAAUACAUGCAAGUCGAGCGAACAGACGAGGAGCUUGCUCCUCUGACGUUAGCGGCGGACGGGUGAGUAACACGUGGAUAACCUACCUAUAAGACUGGGAUAACUUCGGGAAACCGGAGCUAAUACCGGAUAAUAUAUUGAACCGCAUGGUUCAAUAGUGAAAGACGGUUUUGCUGUCACUUAUAGAUGGAUCCGCGCCGCAUUAGCUAGUUGGUAAGGUAACGGCUUACCAAGGCAACGAUGCGUAGCCGACCUGAGAGGGUGAUCGGCCACACUGGAACUGAGACACGGUCCAGACUCCUACGGGAGGCAGCAGUAGGGAAUCUUCCGCAAUGGGCGAAAGCUUGACGGAGCAACGCCGCGUGAGUGAUGAAGGGCUUCGGAUCGUAAAACUCUGUUAUUAGGGAAGAACAAAUGUGUAAGUAACUAUGCACGUCUUGACGGUACCUAAUCAGAAAGCCACGGCUAACUACGUGC